AUGCCGCAGCUGCCCUCGAGUUUCAUCGCCCGGUGCAAGUGCACCUGGCUGAGCGACAUGGAUGCCGGGCGCACCGGGAGGGUGUUCAUCGGCACGUCGGGCUAUGGGCACUACUCGUACCAUCUGGACAGCCGGAAGCUCGAGCGUCUGGUGACGGACGACGGCGAGGAGUACGGGCACCCCAUGUUUGCCUACUUCUCCUUCCCGGGCUCCGAAGCCGGCUCUGACUGA
rnacentral:rRNA from 1 species